rnacentral:piRNA from 1 species
GAGUUUGUCAGGUAAUUCGAAUGUGGGAG